AUUUAAUCCAGUCUCAAGCCAACUUUCUUUACCGGAUCUUGAGAGGUCUGCCCGUCCGGUAUCCGUAGAGCUGGAAGAGAGAACCUGCCUCAAAUCUACUCUUUUUUUGAGGAACUGAGCAAACGGACCUCUAAACGAAAUUCGGUUAUGUAGGCACUCGUCCCUACUCAGGUAUAGCAAUUGGAAAUGGCGGGCUCGACCUUUGACCAAAAAUCAAAUUAAUGAAUGAACUACACUGACGGCGGCGGCUAGAAGGGAUUGCUAUACCAGCGCAGCCAGACCAGAUUCUAUAAUGAAUUGAAUAACGAAAAGCUAACGAACGAAGCCAUU